CUUUCAUCUUCAAAGCUGCACACAGCAGGCAGCAACAGAAAUUUUUCACUCCUUAUUCAAUCUGGUGAAGAAAUGAAAAGAGGAGUUUGUCUGACUGUCAACCUACGAGCACCAAACACGUGGAGGACUGUACACACGCCUGUAGAGGAUGUAGAGGACCAUCUCUUGGCUUCCUGCACUGGCAGCGUGAUGACGUAACCUGCAGCCGGACGAGUCGAGUGACGUCAGGUCGGCUCCCUCCAGGUGCGGCUCCCUCCAGGUGGGGCUCCCUCCAGGUGCGGCUCCCUCCAGGUGCGGCUCCCUCCAGGUGCGGCUCCCUCCAGGUGCGGCUCCCUCCAGGUGGGCUCCCUCCAGGUGGGCUCCCUCCAGGUGCGGCUCCCUCCAGGUGCGGCUCCCUGCAGAUGGUGAUUCAAUUCAAAGACGCAUGGGCAGCCUGACCAAAACAAGACGAAGAGCUGUUAACAUGUAUGCUACACCACGCUGCCUCACCUGCUUCCUUCAACAUUUGGUGUUUCCUCGCUCUGAACUCUGAAGAGUAGGAUCUGUGCUGCAGCUGGAAGGAUUUUUUCUAAGAAUAAAGUUUACUUGUUAGCUGUUCUAGUUUUCUUUCAGUCAUAGUUUGUUUUUAUCUUUCAGCUAUAGAUUUAGUUUAAAGUCUGUUUGCUUUAAUUUUCAUUUGCAGUUUUCUUUUAACACACUUUGAUAAUACAUUUUAAAGUCUUAAUUUGUUUCAUGUUUGUGUUGUCAGCAUCUUUAAUUCCUAAUGGAUGUUUUGUUGUAGUUGUUUCCUUCUUUGUCUUCAUUUGAAGUUGGGAUAUUUUUU